AGCGGGAAAAGCUCAAAUUUAAAAUCUGGUAGUCUUUGGCUGCCCGAGUUGUAAUCUAGAGAAGUGUUAUCCGCGCUGGACCGUGUACAAGUCUCCUGGAAUGGAGCGUCAUAGAGGGUGAGAAUCCCGUCUUUGACACGGACUACCAGGGCUUUGUGAUGCGCUCUCAAAGAGUCGAGUUGUUUGGGAAUGCAGCUCUAAAUGGGUGGUAAAUUCCAUCUAAAGCUAAAUAUUGGCGAGAGACCGAUAGCGAACAAGUACCGUGAGGGAAAGAUGAAAAGAACUUUGGAAAGAGAGUUAAACAGUACGUGAAAUUGUUGAAAGGGAAACGCUUGAAGUCAGUCGCGUUGGCCAGGGAUCAACCUUGCUUUUGCUUGGCGUACUUUCUGGUUAACGGGUCAGCAUCAAUUUUGAUCAGUGGAAAAAGAUUAGGGGAAUGUGGCAUCUUCGGAUGUGUUAUAGCCCUUGGUUGUAUACAUUGGUUGGGAUUGAGGAACUCAGCACGCCGCAAGGCCGGGUUUUUAACCACGUUCGUGCUUAGGAUGCUGGCAUAAUGGCUUUAAUCGACCCGUCUUGA
rnacentral:rRNA from 1 species